UGUAGAGAAUCUGCCCUGUACUGGGGGACAACAGAGGGAAACUUCUGCUAAUACCCCAUAUGAGCGUACCUGCGAUGGUACUCUUGAAAGUUCCGGCGGUACAGGAUGAGUCUGCAUCUGAUUAGCUAGUUGGUGGUGUAAUGGACUACCAAGGCGACGAUCAGUAGCUGGUUUGAGAGGAUGAUCAGCCACAAUGGGACUGAGACACGGCCCAUACUCCUACGGGAGGCAGCAG
rnacentral:rRNA from 1 species